ensembl:lncRNA
GAAUGUUCCCACAUCACUAGCAGGUCAACAUUAAGCACAAGGAUGAUGACUGUUUGCAAGUUGAUGGUCCACAAAUCCACACUGGCAGACCCACCACCAGGGUGGCUUCACGUGGUGGAGCAGUGAGAAGUAAGGAUGAGCCCUGUACUAGCAGUCAUGAUGGAGGUGGUAACCCUGCACCAGCAGUGGUGAUGAACAUGCUGUGGCAUCAAACACGCCACCAGGAGUGUUGUUAAAAGGCCUUCAGCAAUGCAAGGAAGUGGCACUAGUGGUCACGAUGGAGGCUGCCUGCAAGAAGUGACCAGCAGCCAUGAUGGAGACGACUCGUCACAUGUAACACGUAUGGCUGUUCCUCCUGAGGACUAUUCACAUGAUGAGGAAUCAAACCAGGCUCUAGUUGCCAAAGUACAGAAAAGGUCCCAGUUCAAGAGGUACUGUUGGAACUCUCCAGCAAAAUGAGCAGAAAACAAGUUGAAUAUGAAUGUCUGCAGUGUGGGAGGGAGCCGUGUGAGGAUUCCAAAGGGUUCCAAUGACCCCAACGUGAUGCUGUGUAAAAUGACAUGGGGAGAAAUGAGGAAGGGAUUGAUUCAGGACGGCCAAGGAGGGAAUUCUUGAGGCUGCUGAUGGAGACCAUGGCCAGGUCCCCCAUGUUUGAGGGAGAAGAAAACAGCAAGAACUCUUGACAGUGCUGGUAAUGACCAUUUUCAUUUAUGGGAACAGCUUUUAGCCUUUGAACUGAUUUACAAUUUAUUUAAUGGCCGAGUGUGUCAGGACUGUACAUAUGAGCCAGCACACAGAGACACCACACAGGACACAGAAUAUCAGGUCAAGUCAUGUAAUAAGAGUUAAUCCUCAGAGGGAGACGAACAGUUGAGGCUGAGCUUGGAGGUUCUGGGAAGGGGCUGAAGCCUGAGGGAAUCAGGCAGUGGCAGAUCCGACGGAGUUCCACAGUGGAAUCCAGGUGAAGCAGGUGGGGGCGUGUGAGUGGCGUGAGGCAGGUAAGAAGCAGGUAAACAGCAGCGAUGUGACGAAGCUGGUGUCCAGUAAUCCAGGAAGCUUUCUAUGAAGCGCGUGUCGAGGCUCGUGGUGAUGACGUAUGACGUAUAACCCCUAACGCAGGCGUGUCAAACUCACGUACCCAGUGGGCCAAAAUGUGGAAUGAAACCAACAAACCUUUUAAUAUGAACCCAAACAAGUUUUACUUUAACAUUGAAUCAACCAUUCAGAGAACGUUAUUAUUGCUCAGUUUGCGAAACACGGAUCUAAUCUGAAGCCAGAUUCCUGGCACCUGUUCUUGGAUGAUAGUUCAUCAAUGUCUGGGCUCAGGCUCUGAGCUGAGGAAACCCUCACCAAGGUGCUCAUCAGCCAGACGUCUCCUGUGAGAUGUUUCUAUCUUCAUCCAGGAGAAACGUAGCUCACAUCCUUAGUUACAGACACGUGGGCUCCACAGACAAGACAAACAGGUAAACAAAUAUACUUUCUUAUCGCCCUUUUUGGGAACGUGACAGUGUGGUCAGGUUGGUGGUUCCAUCUUUGCAUGUUUUAUUCUUUUACUUUUCACAUCACAAUCCUCUCCCCAAUUUGUCUCCACUUUCCCUUUUGACCCCGCCAUUGUAUCAUAAAGACAGACACCGUAUUAAUACGUUCAUAAGUUAUGUAUCACGCGUCACAAACAUCGUUCCACAGAUGCUGGUUUUGAUCCUGAAAGACUCUUGUUGAGCCGUGAG